rnacentral:lncRNA from 1 species
UAAUGAUUAGUGAUCAUUAUUUUAUGUCUGUUUCAGCUAUUUUGUUUCUUAUACGGCUUUAAAUUAUAUUUUCCUUCAAAUUAUUUUUAGAAAUGGGCAGAAUCUACAUUUAAAAAAUGCAAGUGAGAAUGUACCAUUAAAAGAUGACACUGGGGGCUGGCCCAGUGGCAUAGUGGUUCGGUUCAUGUGCUUGGCUUCAGCAGCCCAGGGUUUGCUGGUUCGGAUCCUGGGCACAGACGUACACACCACUCAUCAAGCCAUGCUGAGGCAGCAUCCCACACAGAAGAAGUAGAAGGACUCACAAGUAGGCUAUACAACUAUGUAUUGGGGCUUUGGGGAGAAAAAAAAAAAAAAAGAAACUGUUUGCAUUUCAGAAGUGUUUUUGAAUUUCUUAAGCUUACACCAGAGAAUCAGGCUCUAUCAUAAGGAAACAUCUUGUAUGAAAAUAUUAAACAUGACUUAAAACAAGGAUGGGUGCCAUCUGCUUAGUGUUUUCAUGUUAAGUAGAACUUUGCUGGGAGAGUUUUUCCAAAAUGACUUUGACUCUCUUUUCAAGUCUCCUCAGUUCCCAUGAUGAACAGAAAUAAUUAUCUAAUUGUAUAUAGGUCUUCAAAUUCAGAGACUUAUUUCAAUCUAGACAGGGCUGGAGAUGUUGGAGAGGGGCAUAUGGAAUAUUGACGUCUGUGUAGACCAGGCGGGGGCUGGCUCAAUGGGCGCAGCAGAAGCAGCGGUCCAGAGAGUGUUGAUGGGAUAAACCUGGUGGAACUCUAUUGCGGGAGAGGUCAUCAGCUGGAGUGGGGAGAUCCAGCAGGUGCUUGGAGCACUGCUUAUCAGACUUGGCUGCACAUUACGAUCACCAGGAAGCUUUAAAGACUAUUGAUGCCUAGGUAAGUGUGGAGAGGUCAGUGUGAUACAGCUUUUUUUCUGCAACAGAACUGUCCAAAUCAUCGUUAGCGUCUGGAGGACGUGGGGUUGCCUUCCCAAAGGGCUUAGGAGUGGAGGGAAGUUGGAAUUCUUUUCUUUAGAAAGAUGUUGGUGACCAGUCCUCAUGGAUCUGUUCUAGGUAACUGUUCUAUUUUUGUUUAACAGUGUGGCCCCUUUAACGCUGGCUUUAGUGCAACUUCUGCCUUAUCCCUUAGGGACAGAUAAUUAUGCUCACAGAGGAACAAAUCUGUUUACUUAUUUUAAAUGACACUCUCACAAUGCUUGUGAGAUGAAAUGCUUGUGGCGAAGCAUGCGGGACCUGGAAUUGACUGCCUAGUCUUGGAUACUUCCUCCACCAUCUACUAGCCAUGUGACUCUGGGCAAGUUACUUAACUGCCUUAUCUACAGAAUGCAAAUAUCAGUAAUAUCAGCCUCUUAGAUUUUUAUUGUAAGUAUGAAAUGACAUAAUACAGAUAAACCAUGUAGAAGAUAGACUCACUAGGUCAGUGGGUCUCAAAGCGUGGUCCCCAGACCAUCAG